GGGGCAGUGGCUCAGUUGGGAGAGCGACGCGUUCGCAACGCGUAGGUCGUGGGUUCGAAUCCCAUCUGCUCCACCA
rnacentral:tRNA from 1 species